rnacentral:rRNA from 1 species
GUCCACGCCGUAAACGAUGGGUACUAGGCUUGGCGGGUCUUGACCCCUGCUGAGCCGGCGCUAACGCAAUAAGUACCCCGCCUGGGAAGUACGGUCGCAAGACUAAAACUCAAAGGAAUUGACGGGGGCCCGCACAAGCGGUGGAUCAUGUGGUUUAAUUCGAAGCAACGCGAAAAACCUUACCUGGGUUUGACAUCUCCUGACAUCCGUAGAGAUACGGCUUCUGUAGCAAUACAGCAGGAAGACAGGUGCUGCAUGGCUGUCGU